rnacentral:misc_RNA from 1 species
UUUUGUCAAACAAGGCAAUUAAAUUAUGAUAGUAUUAGUUGCAUAUCAAAAAUAAAAUAAAAAACACAUUAUUUUAUCUGUCGGAGACAAACUCUAAUGGUGUCGUACAAAAUUGCCCUCAAAACUGGCCACUUACAUCAAAAUUUCUCUCAUGAUGCUCCAACUUUCUGAGCUUUAGUUGGUCGACCAGUUGAAUAAUUAUCUCUAGAUUGAGAGUGUUUGCCACCACCCCUAUAGUGUCUUCCUCUCCUUCCUCGGUUGCCCUUAUUUUCCCAGUGCUUUUCUUGAUUGCCCCGUAGUAGAUUCCAGUAUUCCCUCUCUGCGUCACCA